rnacentral:rRNA from 1 species
AGAGUUUGAUCCUGGCUCAGGAUGAACGCUAGCGGGAGGCCUAACACAUGCAAGCCGAGCGGUAGAGAUUCUUCGGAAUCUUGAGAGCGGCGUACGGGUGCGGAACACGUGUGCAACCUACCUUUAUCUGGAGGAUAGCCUUUCGAAAGGAAGAUUAAUACUCCAUAAUAUAUUGAUUGGCAUCAAUUGAUAUUGAAAGCUCCGGCGGAUAGAGAUGGGCACGCGCAAGAUUAGUUAGUUGGUGAGGUAACGGCUCACCAAGACGAUGAUCUUUAGGGGCCUGAGAGGGUGAUCCCCCACACUGGUACUGAGACACGGACCAGACUCCUACGGGAGGCAGCAGUGAGGAAUAUUGGUCAAUGGGUGCAAGCCUGAACCAGCCAUCCCGCGUGAAGGACGACUGCCCUAUGGGUUGUAAACUUCUUUUGUAUAGGGAUAAACCUACCCUCGUGAGGGUAGCUGAAGGUACUAUACGAAUAAGCACCGGCUAACUCCGUG